GCCAGGUCCGUCUGCGCGCUCCGCAGGCACGAGUCGGAGCGCGUCCGCGUCUUGGCCCGAGGCGUCGUGAGCGGGUGGAGGGCGUCGAUGCAGGACGAGCUCGCCAUGGUCAGAGACGCCCUGCGCAAGCUUGACAACGUCAGCAUGCCGCAGACAACGGAGAUCACCGUCGGUCAGCGGCAACAUGUCUCCGCCGAUUCUGACGUAGCCAAGACGAAGGCGCCGGUCAUGAAGACGGCGGCAGUCACUAUCAGAAAGGAUGCGUCCGGUUCCGCCGGCGGGGACCCUGCUGGCCUCUGCUCCGAGGAGAAGAUGGAAGCCGCGAAACGCAAGUUCCGCCAAGGUUACCGGGAAGCAGAGGACGCUAAACGGCUGCGCAGGACACGAUUGGUGCAGGCGCCCAAGAUGAUGCAGCCAGUCAGGAGGUGCACCAGCUCCAUGGCCAAGAAGGAAACCUUCGUGGUCAGGACGCAGAUUCACAUGGCUUAGGGCUCUAGCUCAAACAGUUGGAAAGAUCUAAACUCGUGUCAUCUCACUUUUUAAUUUUUUGUCAGUAUCCUUCUUUUCGAACAUUCAGUACUGCAGUUGUAACUAGCAUUACUGUAAUGCAGUUGCUUGCUUGUGUGUUCUGUACAUGAUCUAAGGAAAUUGAUGAAUUCGAAGUGAGAUUCGGUUUUACAAAUCUACUGACAUGUUCAAAGAACUUGGGAAGAAAUUGCUCGUCAUGUUGGGAAAGAUGUGUUUGUGUCAAAUUGUGAUUCUGCACAUACCUAAGCAAUCAAUAAAGCUCGGCUUUUAGAACUUUGAGUUCUCAUCUUCAUGUUCAGACUUGCAGUCCAAGUUGCAAUUUGAAUCAAUUAAAAUUGACAAAAAUUCUCUUCUUGCUGUUUCUUGAGGUUUGCAAAUUGGAUUGUACUCAACACAGAUUGCAUACAAAGCAGCAACAACUAAAAGCUGGACUAGGGCAUUCCUAGUUUCAUCUGAGUGUCAAAUCACAAAGCUUCCAUGGUUUGAACUGGCAUAUAUUAAUUAGCUUUUGCCUUCUUCGGUUUAUAGCAAGGUAUUUUAAAGUAGACAGGUUCGUGAGCUCGUGGCAUCCUUCACGUAGAGGUAAUAGUUAUAUGAUCCCCCUUUCAUACACGACGCAGUGACAUUACUGGCAUUCAGAACCCUGAUUUGGUUCAUAUCCACAUACCAGGAGAGCCAAUCAUCACACUUCAUAGUCACCACUGAUAAACAACUACAGGGACUCACACCCCUCUCUGCAUCCUUUCUAUUGCCAAAUGAUUCAUAAUACCUGGACUUCAAACUAGACACGCGGUGUCCCGCCACAAUGUUGACUCACGGAAUCCUACAAAAUGACCAAACAAUUGCUGAUUUGGGUUUCACCACAUUGGCUUGACACAAAAAUUCAUCCUCCAUCACCGAAUUUGCAACCAUCGUGUUUCCUUCAGAGUCAACAACGAUAACGUCAAAAUGUUCCGGUAUGGUAUUUGGUCGAACACUUGCCAGAUGUGGCGCCCAUCAUGGACGGUGGCGAUAUGGGCAGAUGGUACCUAGGCAUCGGUGGGAUCCAUGGUGGAAUGUUGGCGUAGGCGAAGGCGGUCAGGUGUCUAGUUGGAGCGGCAAAGGUUCGACAAGGCAUGGGUGGUGGUUGGGGUGGUACAACGGUAGCGUCGGUCCCCGAGGGUGCGGAUACGAAGCACCAGGGGGUGCGAAAAAGGGCUCUAGGCGGGGUAUUUUGGUGGGCCGGCGGUGCCGGAGUACGACACCACGGAUAUCCGAACUCCUCCAAACCUCCAUAGGUUUGAUGCUAGUUUGCGGGAAUUCAGACAUCCAUGCCGAUCCAGAUGAUUUUGAUAACCGUCAUUGAAUGGCGAAAAAUACCCAAACUACCUGGUCCAGACGUUUACGGGCGAUUUUGUGAUCUGUGUUGGACUUUCCCUAAUUCCUUCUCGUCUCUCCACCUUCUGCCCGUGUGAAGAAAUCCAACACGGGGAGGGGAAAACAAGUACUAUUAGACAAGGAUCCAUGUCUGGCGAAGUAUCGUUUGAAACCGUUUGGUGGUCGAAGUCCUUUUAGCGGAGCACGUAUCUACCGGGUAAAGAUCUACCAUCUAACACUUUUUUAGAGAUUCUUGCAAACCUUUUGCAUCAUAUGGGUGUUAUGCCAUAAAAGAAGCAAUACAUACCAGCCUUGUGUCAUUGUGUUACCAAAGAGAAAGAGAGGUGUAGGGAAGGACGUUGCAUGCAUGCUUUCUAUUCUUCCUCUCCCCAUACAUAAAACACGCUUUUUUAAAAUGAUAUUUUAAACCAUUCAUAGCUUCUAAACCAAAAUUCAUUUUUUAUAUUAUAUAUAUUUGAAUUCCUGGCAUCAGGACCUUUUGAACAAGCUCAACUCGAAUACAUUUCAAAAUCAUUUAAAUUUCACUAUUUCAGUUUCACAUUAACAGUUGUGACUGUGAAAUUUUAGUUUCAUAUUUCUGUAUCACAUUAAUUAAAAACAAUAUUUAAAUAAUUAAAAUCAAUGUUUUGAAAUAUAUGAUAUGUUUAAAUAUCUAAAAAUAUAUUUUCUAAAAUAAUCUGAUAGAUGAAUGUUGUUGAAAUGGAUGUGGUACUGAAAGUGGUUAUGGUAUUUCAAAAAAAGUGUCCUGCUAACUGAAAUGCAUCUGGCAUUGAAGUGCAAAUGCUAACAAAGUGAUCUGAUAGUGAAGCAUAUGGUAUUGAAAUGCACCUGGUAAAAAAAAGUGAUUUGGUAUUGGAAUGCCUCUGGUAUCGAAAUGCAUACUAUACUAAAAUUUAUCAUCUGUAUUGCAAUGGACGUGGUACUAAAUUUUAUUAAAAUGUUUUUUAAAGGUAGUACUGAAAUUAAAACAUGUGCAUAUUAUCAAAAUGAAUAUGGUACUGAAAGUGGUAUGGUAAUUAAAAUGCAUUUGGUAUUGAAACUCAUAUGCCAUCAAUUUGAUUUGAUAGUGAAGCAUCCAAUAUUGAAAUGCAUAUGGUAACAAAGUGAUUUGGUAAUUGAAAUGCAUCGAAUAACUAAGUUAUUGAAACAUUCGAACAUAAAGUGAUAUAUGAAAUUCAACACACGAGUUGUCAUACCCGUAAAGCAACACAUGAGUUGCACCUGCAUGGGCUGGCUUUGGGUCAGACGGGACACGGAAUAAAAUCAUCACGCGGCCCAUAGAACAAAGCAUCGCUGGUACAUGCUGAUACAAUUUAUGACCACCCCAGGAAAGCUAUGGGCAAAGGAGGCAUCGGCAAGGCUUAUAAAAUACAGUUGUUG
rnacentral:lncRNA from 1 species